rnacentral:rRNA from 1 species
UACGGGGGAGCAAGCGUUGUUCGGAUUUACUGGGCGUAAAGGGCGCGUAGGCGGCGUGACAAGUCACUUGUGAAAUCUCCGGGCUUAACUCGGAACGGUCAAGUGAUACUGUCGUGCUAGAGUACAGAAGGGGCAACUGGAAUUCUCGGUGUAGCGGUGAAAUGCGUAGAUAUCAGGAGGAACACCAAUUGCGAAGGCAGCUCGCUGGGACGUUACUGACGCUGAGACGCGAAAGCGUGGGAGCAAACAGG